UAGGGAAUCUUCGGCAAUGGGGGGAACCCUGACCGAGCAACGCCGCGUGAGUGAAGAAGGUUUUCGGAUCGUAAAGCUCUGUUGUUAAGGAAGAACGAGUGUGAGAAUGGAAAGUUCAUACUGUGACGGUACUUAACCAGAAAGGGACGGCUAACUACGUGCCAGCAGCCGCGGUAAUACGUAGGUCCCGAGCGUUGUCCGGAUUUAUUGGGCGUAAAGCGAGCGCAGGCGGUUAGAUAAGUCUGAAGUUAAAGGCUGUGGCUUAACCAUAGUACGCUUUGGAAACUGUUUAACUUGAGUGCAAGAGGGGAGAGUGGAAUUCCAUGUGUAGCGGUGAAAUGCGUAGAUAUAUGGAGGAACACCGGUGGCGAAAGCGGCUCUCUGGCUUGUAACUGACGCUGAGGCUCGAAAGCGUGGGGAGCAAACAGGAUUAGAUACCCUGGUAGUCCACGCCGUAAACGAUGAGUGCUAGGUGUUAGACCCUUUCCGGGGUUUAGUGCCGCAGCUAACGCAUUAAGCACUCCGCCUGGGGAGUACGACCGCAAGGUUG
rnacentral:rRNA from 1 species